AGGUGAAAAGCACCCCGGGAGGGGAGUGAAAAAGAACCUGAAACCCUGUGCCUACAAGCACCUAGAGCGCGUCAAAGCGUGAUAGGGUACUUUUUGUAGAACGGUCCGGCGAGCGAUUGUAUGCAGCAAGGUUAAGGACUUCAGGUCCGGAGCCGAAGCGAAAGCGAGUUUGAAAAGGGCGUUAAGUUGCAUAUAAUGGGCCCGAAACCGGGUGACCUACCCAUGGUCAGGUUGAAGUGGAAGUAAAAUUCCAUGGAGGACCGAACCGACCUCCGUUGAAAAGGCGGCGGAUGAACUGUGGGUAGCGGAGAAAUUCCAAUCGAACCCGGAGAUAGCUGGUUCUCCCCGAAAUAGUUUUAGGACUAGCCUCAAGUUAGAUAUCUGGAGGUAAAGCACUGAAUAGCCUAGCGGCCGAGAGGUUAGCGAAGCUUAUCAAACUCAGAAUGCCAGAAUAUUGAUGCUUGGGAGUCAGACAGUGUCAGAUAAAUGUCAUUGUCAAAAGGGAAACAGCCCAGAUCUACAGCUAAGGUCCCAAAGUUAGGUUAAGUGGAAAACGAUGUGAAGAUACGCAGACAACCAGGAUGUUGGCUCAGAAGCAGCCACUCAUUCAAAGAGUGCGUAAUAGCUCACUGGUCGAGCGUCUUUGCGCGGAGAAUUUAACGGGGCUAAACCUGACACCGAAGCUUAGGCAAUACAGUAAUGUAUUGGGUAGGGGAGCGUUGUAUACGCGGUGAAACAGUAGCGCAAGCGGCUGUGGAGUGUAUAGAAGUGAGAAUGCCGGAAUGAGUAGCGCGAAUGCAGUGAGAAUCUGCAUGGCCGAAAGCCUCAGGUUUUUGGAGGAAGGUUCGUCCGCUCCAAGUUAGUCGGGAGCUAAGGUGAGGCCGAGAGGCGUAGCCGAUGCACAGACGGUAGAGAUUCCGUCACCACCAAAAGAGUUAAGCACAGGGACACAUUUGAAGUCUCAGAGCCGGGUGUUGGUUCCGGUAGAGAUCGAGGGAAGUUAGUACCGAAGUCUGGGAUGGAAGAUGGCGAGAAAAGCUGUGUGGAUUUCUGAGGUGCCCGUACCGCAAACCGACACAGGUAGGUAGGAAGAAGAUUCUAAGGCCAACGGGAGAAGGGUUGUUAAGGAACUCGGCAAAUUGACCCCGUAACUUCGGGAGAAGGGGUGCUCCAGAGAUGGAGCCGCAGAGAAUCGGCCCAAGCAACUGUUUACCAAAAACACAGGUUUGUGCUAAAUCGAAAGAUGACGUAUACGAGCUGACGCCUGCCCGGUGCUGGAAGGUUAAGAGGAGAUGUGCAAGCAUUGAAUCGAAGCCCCAGUGAACGGCGGCCGUAACUAUAACGGUCCUAAGGUAGCGAAAUUCCUUGUCAGGUAAGUUCUGACCCGCAUGAAAGGCGUAAUGAUUUGGGCACUGUCUCAACAGCCCGCCCGGCGAAAUUGUAGUACCGGUGAAGAUGCCGGUUACCCGCGACAAGACGGAAAGACCCCAUGGAGCUUUACUGUAGCCUAAUAUUGGGUUUCGAUGUUGCAUGCACAGGAUAGAUGGGACUCUGGGAAACCAGUGCUUUGGCGCUGGCGGAGAGGCCGUUGGGAUACCAUCCUUGCGAUAUUGGAAUUCUAACCUGCGGCUCUGAAUCGAGUCGGGGGACAUUGUUAGGUGGGCAGUUUGACUGGGGCGGUCGCCUCCUAAAAAGUAACGGAGGCGUUCAAAGGUUCGCUCAGCUUGAACGGAAAUCAAGCAAAAGAGUGCAAACGCAGAAGCGAGCCUAACUGCGAGACUGACGGGUCGAGCAGUAACGAAAGUUGGAGUUAGUGAU
rnacentral:rRNA from 1 species